rnacentral:rRNA from 1 species
AGAGUUUGAUCAUGGCUCAGAAUCAACGCUGGCGGCGUGCCUCAGACAUGCAAGUCGAACGAUUAAAGCUCCCUUCGGGGAGUGCAUAAAGUGGCGCACGGGUGAGUAACACGUAAGUAAUCUACCUUCGAGUGGGGAAUAACAACCGGAAACGGUUGCUAAUACCGCAUAAUGCAGCGGCAUCUAUGAUGACAGUUGUUAAAGAUUUAUCGCUUGAAGAGGAGCUUGCGGCAGAUUAGCUAGUUGGUAAGGUAACGGCUUACCAAGGCGACGAUCUGUAUCCGGUCUAAGAGGACGGUCGGACACACUGACACUGAAUAACGGGUCAGACUCCUACGGGAGGCAGCAGUCGGGAAUUUUGGGCAAUGGGCGAAAGCCUGACCCAGCAACGCCGCGUGAAGGAUGAAGUUUUUCGGAAUGUAAACUUU